ACCAGUAAAUAUUGUAUGGAAUGGGAUCGUUUGCCUACGUUUGCCGCUAGGGGCGCUGUUCCAACUGCAUACAAAAUUGGGUUA
rfam:Bombyx mori DNA, contig: Bm_scaf17_contig12926, strain: p50T/Dazao, build 2, whole genome shotgun sequence.